UUUAACCGCCAUGGAAACUUCUAGAACGUGAGGCAGGUACUCUUCCAGAACCUUCGCUUUGUGCUUUUUAUGGAAGACCAAUUCGAUGUAUCGAACGUCUGAUCUCACCCUGGAAUUGAACUCGUCGUGGUUGAUUCCGGCGAAUUGAUCGGCGAUUUCUUCGUUACCGCCGACGGUGACGUUGAUUUUCUUCUCGUUUUCCGCAAGCGAGGCUUGGAGCCGCGCCGUCGCAGGGCUUUUGAUGGUGCUGAUGUAGAGCUCCGCCACCUCGAACAGGUGGUUCCGUUUGAGUCCGUCGACUUCGUCGAUGGUUAGGGUUAUGUCGUUGGCGAAUGUGGAGAGGAAAUUCUGGAAUUUCGAGAGGAGAUAGUGGCGGAGCUCGUGGGGGACGAAAUCGCUGGCGAAUGACCGGACGAGCACCGCCGUGGCAGCCACCGACGCCGCCGUGGACACGGCGGCUUUGACCGACGGGAAACGGAAUUUCUGAUACAUUGCGGAGCAAGUUCUGUCGGAGUAGAGCCUGACUCGUCGUUAAAUCCACGCCGUUGGUGACGUGGGGUCCAUGGUGGACGGUCGUGAUCGACUCUCGGGAUCUAGAAGAAGGAGACCUCUUUACUAUUGUUUAAAAAUUAGGGUUGUACUAUUAAAAUUG